CUCACCUUCAACACUAAGGUUUACCCGCAUACACUGUUCAUACAGAGUUCAGCCUGGCAAGCACCGGCUCUUCGUCAAAGAUCCACUGUUUAAUUUAGAAGUUUUCAAUUGGAUUUGUUGAAUAUAUUAAUCGUUUGAUUUGUUUUGCAGGUCUCAAGCCGUAUGCACUCGACAGAAAGGAGGACACUUGAUGCAGUGUGGAAGACGUUUAGAGGACACACUUUGGUCCAUCAGAGAUGCACCCUUCAUAUUUGGUAGACACCAUGACUGCAACGAUCUACCAAAGAAAGUCUUGGGUUUCAUUCAUGCAAGAAAUAAUAAAUAAUGUGAACUACAGGUAAUGAAGUCAAGAAGCACGGAGUCAAACCAAACAAGCCUUUCAGAAAGAUGCAAGUGAGAGCUUCAUUCUUCAUCGUGCCCUUUCUGUGAGAGGGAGAGGGAAGAGAAAGAAAAGAGUUUGGAAGGAUCCUGUUGGGGAAUCCCUUUCUGCAGAUUCUGAUGCCCUCCAGCACACCAUUACAGCGCAGCUGGUGCAUG